UACGUAGGGUCCGAGCGUUGUCCGGAAUUACUGGGCGUAAAGAGCUCGUAGGUGGUUUGUCGCGUUGUUCGUGAAAACUCACAGCUCAACUGUGGGCGUGCGGGCGAUACGGGCAGACUAGAGUACUGCAGGGGAGACUGGAAUUCCUGGUGUAGCGGUGGAAUGCGCAGAUAUCAGGAGGAACACCGGUGGCGAAGGCGGCCUUCUGGACAGUGACUGACGCUGAGACGCGAAAGCGUGGGGAGCAAACAGG
rnacentral:rRNA from 1 species